GAUGAAGAACGUAGCGAAAUGCGAUACGUAAUGUGAAUUGCAGAAUUCAGUGAAUCAUCGAGUCUUUGAACGCACAUUGCGCCCUCUGGUAUUCCGGAGGGCAUGCCUGUCCGAGCGUCAUUGCUGCCCUCAAGCACGGCUUGUGUGUUGGGCCCCGCCCCCCGAUCCCGGGGGGCGGGCCCGAAAGGCAGCGGCGGCACCGCGUCCGGUCCUCGAGCGUAUGGGGCUUUGUCACCCGCUCUGUAGGCCCGGCCGGCGCCUGCCGAUCAACCAAACUUUUUUCCAGGUUGACCUCGGAUCAGGUAGGGAUACCCGCUGAACUUAAGCAUAUCAAUAAGCGGAGG
rnacentral:misc_RNA from 1 species